GACCAGACUCCUACGGGAGGCAGCAGUGGGGAAUAUUGCACAAUGGGGGAAACCCUGAUGCAGCGACGCCGCGUGAGUGAAGAAGUAUUUCGGUAUGUAAAGCUCUAUCAGCAGGGAAGAAAAUGACGGUACCUGACUAAGAAGCCCCGGCUAACUACGUGCCAGCAGCCGCGGUAAUACGUAGGUGGCAAGCGUUGUCCGGAUUUACUGGGUGUAAAGGGCGUGUAGGCGGAGCUGCAAGUCAGAUGUGAAAUCCCGGGGCUCAACCCCGGAACUGCAUUUGAAACUGUAGCCCUUGAGUAUCGGAGAGGCAGGCGGAAUUCCUAGUGUAGCGGUGAAAUGCGUAGAUAUUAGGAGGAACACCAGUGGCGAAGGCGGCCUGCUGGACGACAACUGACGCUGAGGCGCGAAAGCGUGGGGAGCAAACAGGAUUAGAUACCCCGGUA
rnacentral:rRNA from 1 species